rnacentral:misc_RNA from 1 species
GAUGAAGAACGUAGCGAAAUGCGAUAAGUAAUGUGAAUUGCAGAAUUCAGUGAAUCAUCGAAUCUUUGAACGCACAUUGCGCCCACCAGUAUUCUGGCGGGCAUGCCUGUUCGAGCGUCAUUUCAACCAUCAAGCCCCAGGCUUGUGUUGGGGACCUGCGGCUGCCGCAGGCCCUGAAAACCAGUGGCGGGCUCGCUGUCACACCGGGCGUAGUAGAUUUUAUCUCGCUCAGGGCGUGCUGCGGGUUCCGGCCGUUAAAAAGCCUUUUUUACCCAAGGUUGACCUCGGAUCAGGUAGGAAGACCCGCUGAACUUAAGCAUAUCAAUAAGCGGAGGA